GGUGGCACGUUGGGUUAGUGCAUCUGGCUGUUAACCAGAAGGUUGGUGGCUCGAGCCCACCCAGGGAUG